UACGUAGGCAGCAAGCGUUGUUCGGAAUUACUGGGCGUAAAGAGUGUGUAGGCGGUGCUCCAAGUCUGGUGUGAAAUCUCCCGGCUUAACUGGGAGGGUGCAUUAGAAACUGGAAUGCUAGAGGAUGGGAGAGGUAAGCGGAAUUCCUGGUGUAGCGGUGAAAUGCGUAGAUAUCAGGAGGAACACCUGUGGUGUAGACAGCUUACUGGGCCAUUUCUGACGCUGAGACACGAAAGCGUGGGGAGCAAACAGG
rnacentral:rRNA from 1 species